rnacentral:lncRNA from 10 species
CAGCUUGCUGACUACAGAUUGUGAGACUUCUCAGCCGAGACUUCUCAGCUUCUAUAAUAGUAUACACAAUGUUGUGAAGCUCGGCUGAUUUAAACCAGGAUCACGUGCAGAGGCUUGCACUAACAUGCAUCUUUCUGAAAGCCUCUAGAUAACACUGGGUGGCUCUGCCUGAUAUGUUUGUCAUCUAUUUUUGACUGGCAGGUUGACUAGCACAGAUUCUUCUCAUGAUAAUGGCAGAAGUGAAAAAGGGCAAACAGAAACAUGCAAGGCCUCUUAAAUCCUUGACUUGAAAAUAGCAGUCACUUUUGACUCUUUCUGUUCAUGAAAGCAAAUCACACAAUCAAUUCCAAAGUCAAGGGGAGGAAAUAUGCUCCAACCAUAAUGAUGUCAUAGCAGGGGAAUGGCUACAGGGAUGGUUGAAGAAUUGGGCCAGUAAUGCCAUCUCACACACACAAGAAAUAGGAUUUUGUCCAAAAGAACCAAUAAAUUUUGAAAAGUACUUCAGUACUUCAGAGAAACAGGAAAUCACUUUAUUCUUUUACCUUAAUCACUUUCCACUAUAUUGUGAGCUCUCAUCUUCUAAAACAGUGUCUCAACACUCAUCAUGAGGCUUCAAUGCUAAGUUGAUAGUUAAAUGUACCUCAAGCUUGACUUUGUCAAAUAAAUGAUAACAAAGUAAUGCUUGAGCAUAUUAUUUCAAAAUAAGAGUCCAUGCUUCUAUGAAAAACAAAAAAAUUAAAAACACACCCUCCUAACCACCUCAAUUAACAAUACAAUCAUCUCAAAUUAGCCCUCAGCUAUUAUUGUUGAAAUGCAAAACUGCUCAGACACUGAGAUAAGUAAAUUCUCAACUACUACAACUUGUUCGGAUUGAAAUCUCCAUGUAGAUCAUUGUAUUAUUUUAAAACUGUUUGGAAUUAACACAUAUUCUAAAUAUCCUUCAUACUUCACAUUUUCCC